AGAAUCAACGCUGGCGGCGCGCUUAACACAUGCAAGUCGCACGAGAAAGUGGAGCAAUCCAUGAGUAAAGUGGCGUACGGGUGAGUAAUACGUGGAUCAUCUACCUUUUAGUGAGGAAUACCCCUGGGAAACCGGGGAUAAUACCGCAUAAGCUCGUGAGAGGAAAGCCGAAAGGCGCUAAAAGAGGAGUCCGCGGCUGAUUAGCUAGUUGGUGAGGUAACGGCCCACCAAGGCGAAGAUCGGUAGCCGGCCUGAGAGGGCACACGGCCACACUGGCACUGAAACACGGGCCAGACUCCUACGGGAGGCAGCAGUGGGGAAUCUUGCACAAUGGAGGAAACUCUGAUGCAGCGACGCCGCGUGAGCGAUGAAGCCCUUCGGGGUGUAAAGCUCUUUCGACGGGAACGAUAAUGACGGUACCGGAGAAGAAGCUGCGGCUAACUACGUCGCCAGCAGCCGC
rnacentral:rRNA from 1 species